AUAUAAUGUGUAAUGAUCAAGUCACGGUAUUUGAGGUAUUCAUCACCUCAUUUAUUAUCUAUAUGCAUUGGAAAAAUUUCCAGUCCUGUCUCCUAGCUAUUUUGAAAUAUACAAUACAUUGUUGUUAACUAUAGUCACACUACUUUACUAAAUUGAUCUUAAGAAGGUAGAGAUUAGAAUGAUAGAUACCAAAGGCUAGGAAGUACGUAUGAGUGAGGGGACAGUGAAGAGACAUAGAAAUAUAUAAUUAGGGCCGUUUCCGGUGGAGCUGUCGCCUAGCCCCUAUCGCAGAGUGGAGCGGGGCUGGGAGCAAAGCGCUGAGGGAGCUCGGUACGCCGCCACCUCGCACCCGCAGCCUUGCGCCCGCCGUUGCCCGUCCCCAGAGAACCAUGGAGUCUGGCAGUACUGCCGCCAGCGAGGAGGCACGCAGCCUUCAAGAAUGUGAACUCUACGUCCAGAAGCAUAACAUUCAAGCACUGCUCAAAGAUUCUAUUGUGCAGUUGUGCACUGCUCGACCUGAGAGACCCAUGGUAUUCCUCAGGGAAUACUUUGAGAGGUUGGAGAAGGAGGCAAAACAGAUUCAGAAUCUGCAGAAAGCAGGCACUCGUACAGACUCAAGGGAAGAUGAGAUCUCUCCUCCUCCACCCAACCCAGUGGUUAAAGGUCGGAGGCGACGAGGGCUAUUAGCGCUGAGGUCUACACGGAGGAAGAUGCCACAUCAUAUGUUAGAAAGGUUAUACCAAAAGAUUACAAGACGAUGGCUGCUUUAGCCAAAGCCAUUGAGAAAAAUGUGCUGUUUUCACAUCUUGAUGAUAAUGAGAGAAGUGAUAUUUUUGAUGCCAUGUUUUCGGUCUCCUUUAUCGCAGGAGAGACUGUGAUUCAGCAAGGUGAUGAAGGGGAUAACUUCUAUGUGAUUGAUCAAGGAGAGACGGAUGUCUAUGUCAACAAUGAAUGGGCAACUAGUGUUGGGGAAGGAGGGAGCUUUGGAGAACUUGCUUUGAUUUAUGGAACACCUAGAGCAGCCACUGUCAAAGCAAAGACAAAUGUGAAAUUGUGGGGCAUCGACCAAGACAGCUAUAGAAGAAUCCUCAUGGGAAGCACACUGAGAAAGGGGAAGAUGUAUGAGGAACUCCUCAGUAAAGUCUCUAUUCUAGAGUCUCUGGACAAGUGGGAACAUCUUACGGUAGCUCAUGCAUUGGAACCAGUGUAGUUUGAAGAUGGGCAGAAGAUUGUGGUGCAGGGAGAACCAGGGGAUGAGUUCUUCAUUAUUUUAGAGGGGUCAGCUGCUGUGCUACAACGUCACUCAGAAAAUGAAGAGUUUGUUGAAGUGGGAAGAUUGGGGCCUUCUGAUUAUUUUGGUGAAAUUGCACUACUGAUGAAUCGUCCUCGUGCUGCCACAGUCGUUGCUCGUGGCCCCUUGAAGUGCGUUAAGCGGGACCGACCUAGAUUUGAAUGUGUUCUUGGCCCAUGCUCAGACAUCCUCAAACGAAACAUCCAGCAGUACAACAGUUUUGUGUCACUGUCUGUCUGAAAUCUGCCUCCUGUGCCUCCCCUUUUCUCCUCUCCCCAAUCCAUGCUUCACUCAUGCAGACUGCUUUAUUUUCCCUACUUGCAGUGCCAAGUGGCCACUGGCAUCGCAGCUUCCUGUCUGUUUAUAUAUUGAAAGUUGCUUUUAUUGCACUAUUUUCAAUUUGGAGCAUUAACUGAAUGCUCAUACACAGUUAAAUAAAUAGAAAGAGUUCUAUGGAGACUUUGCUGUUACUGCUUCUCUUUGUGCAGUGUUAGUAUUCACCCUGGGCAGUGAAUGCCAUGCUUUUUGGUGAGGGCAGAUCCCAGCACCUAUUGAAUUACCGUAGAGUAAUGAUGUAACAGUGCAAGAUUUUUUUUUUUUAAGGGACAUAAUUUUCCAGUUCUAAGCAUAUUUAGACUGUGGCCAUAUAUGCUGUAUUUCUUUGUAGAAUAAAUGGUUUCUCAUCAAGCUCUAAAGAUUAGGGAAAAUGGAUAUAGAAAAUCUUAGUAUAGUAGAAAGACAUCUGCCUGUGAUUAAACUAGUUUAAGGGUGGGAAAAUGCCCAUUUUUGCUAAUUAUCAAUGAGAUAUGAUUGGUUCAAUUUUUUUUUCCAGAAUUUUUGUUUGCCAAGCUAAUCUGCCUGGUUUUAUUUAUAUGUUGUUAUUAAUGUUUCCUCUCCAAUUCUGAAAUACUUUUAAGUGUGGCUAUCUAUACCUGCCUUUUAAGUUUGAAACUAACUCAUAGACUGCAAAUAUUGGUUAGUAUUUAACUACAUCUGCCUCGGCUCACAAAUUUCGAUUAAGACCUUUAUCCAGCUAGUGCCAAAUAAUUGAUCAGAUGCUGAAUUGAGAAUAAGAAUUUGAGGUCUGCAAUCUUGGUUGUUAAUUUAGAACUUUUGGUUAAAGUAUGUCCUUCAGCUGACUCCAGUAUAAUCUCCUCUGCUUAUUAAACUGAUUCCAGGAGAUUGGAUUUGCUAUGACUAGAUACAGAUGGAGCAAACGUCCUAACCGAGAAAAGAGGUGAUGCUGCUAAAGGGAGAAAUGGCAGGCGGACAAAGUUCAGUGUCGGGAAUUUUCCCUGUGAGAUUCACUGGGGCAUGAGAUUUUGGAAGAAGUUUUUUACUUUGGUUUAGUCUUUUUUUCCUUUUUAUUUCAGAAUUUCUGGUGGGUUGAUUGUAGGGUGUAAUGUGUCUGUGUUGUUUCAAAUUGGUCUAAAAGGCUAUCCUGCUGAAAGUCCUGCUUUCCUAUCUAGCAUUUAUUUCUCUGGCAAACUUUUCUUUCUUUCUUUCCUUUCGUUUUUAAAGUAAACUUGUGUAUUGAGUCUUAACUCUAUUUCAGUAUCAGUAUUUUCCAGCCUUACGUGUUACAUUAUUCCAAUGAUACCCAACAGUUUUAUUAUUUUUUUAAACAAACUUUCACAGUUCUGUAAUGUAGGCACUUUUAUUUUUGUUGUGAUUUAUAUAUAAGGUAAUGUAGGGUUAUAUUUGGGAGUGACUGAAAGCAUUUUUCCAUCUGUGUGCAACUAACUGACUCUGAAUAUUGAUCCCCUCUCCUGCCCUUUCCUAGGUAAUUUAAAUUGGUCAUGGUAGAUUUUUUUCAUACAUUUGAAAAACUUUUAGGUUGUUACUAAGUAUGAAGUAUAAAUCUGGGGAAGAGGCUUUAUGUACAUUUUAGGGUGGGUAAGAAAGCCACCAUGUUACAAAUUUUUUAAUUUCCAAAAUAAUCUAUAUUAAAUGAGGGUUUUCUGAUCUGUACUUUGUGUUUAGCUACCUUUUUAUAUUUAAAAAAUUAAAAAUGAAAAUUAUGUUCUUACAAGCUUAAAGCUUGAUUUGAUCUUUGUUUAAAUGCCAAAAUGUACUUAAAUGAGUUACUUAGAAUGCCAUAAAAUUGCAGUUUCAUGUAUGUAUAUAAUCAUGCUCAUGUAUAUUUAGACACAUAUAAUGCUUUCUAAGUGAGUUUUACUCUUAAAUCAUUUGGCUUGCUGUUUACUCCCUUCUGUAGUUUUUAAUUAAAAAAUUUAAAGAUAAGUCUACAUUAAACAAUGAUCACAUCUAAAGCUU